rnacentral:tRNA from 2 species
CGACUUAGCUUAGUUGGUAGAGCAAUGCACUCGUAACGCAUAGGUCGUAGGUUCAAGUCCUAUAGUCGGC